CACGUAGGGGGCAAGCGUUGUCCGGAUUCAUUGGGCGUAAAGAGCUCGUAGGCGGCUCGGCAAGUCGGGUGUGAAACCUCCAGGCUCAACCUGGAGACGCCACUCGAUACUGCUGUGGCUAGAGUCCAGUAGGGGAGCGUGGAAUUCCCGGUGUAGAGGUGAAAUUCGUAGAUAUCGGGAGGAACACCGGUGGCGAAGGCGGCGACCUGGGUCGAGACUGACGCUGAGGCGCGAAAGCGUGGGGAGCAAACAGG
rnacentral:rRNA from 1 species